UACAGAGGGGGCAAGCGUUGUUCGGAAUUACUGGGCGUAAAGGGCGCGUAGGCGGCCUUCUACGUCGAACGUGAAAUCCCCGGGCUCAACCCGGGAACUGCGUCCGAGACUGGAUGGCUUGAAUUCGGGAGAGGGAUGCAGAAUUCCAGGUGUAGCGGUGAAAUGCGUAGAUAUCUGGAGGAAUACCGGUGGCGAAGGCGGCAUCCUGGACCGACAUUGACGCUGAGGAGCGAAAGCUAGGGGAGCAAACGGG
rnacentral:rRNA from 1 species